GCUCAUGUUAAUGAACCGCUGCAGGAUGUUGUCGUGGAACCCACAUUUCCCCGGGGACUGGUAUUGUCACUCAAGUUGGAAAAAAUAGCUAAAGUUCAAAGGACGCCCUCUCAUUCAGAGCAGCUGUUGUCUGAGAGCUCGAGGCAGCUCUCUGACACUCUGUCAGAUUCUUCUCUCGCAACCACUCUUCUGCAUGCCAAACAGCCAGCGUCUCCGCUUGUUCUCAUGUAAGUGCAUUAAUUAACAGCACCAAUCUUCAAUUAAAUCACCAUUAAAGUGCAUCGGAGGCAUAAAAUUGUGUCAUUUUGUCGAUAACAUUUACAUUUUGACAGGUGGGGGCAUUGUAUAAACAGAAGAUGCACGAUGACCCCGGUUGUUUGAUCUGUCAACUCGUAUCAGCAGAUAGGAGUGGACAUCAUGUCCUUGAGCCUUAUACCAAAGCCGCAGUCGAAAAAAAAAGAAACCUAUUACACCUCGAGAAGACCGCCCGCUCCCUCAGUAAACAACAUAAUAUUCCAAAGCUCAUGAGAGGGUCUUACUGAUCAGCCUACGUAUAUUCCCUCAUACCAUCUGCAGCAUCUUCACCUACAGCAAAGAGGUGAGCAAAGACAUCACCACUUUCACUACACAAGAUACUUGGUAGAAACUGCCAUCAGAUUUGGAAAACCUUAGAAACGUGUGCAGAAUGUAAAUUUCCUCCUUACUCUGGAGUACAGAGCCAAAUAGAGGAUUUGUGCGAAUGAUGUCUGUGCAAGAAAAAACAUGCAGAAUUAAAGAUCCACAGGAGCGGCUUUUCCUGAAAUUUUUGGAAUGUAAUUUGAUUUUAUGUCCUUAUUUUUCCUGUGGUAGUGCACAUCAACUUUAGUUAAGUGCAAAGACAAGUAUGGACACAGAGUUAAAUGUCUAGAUGGGACAACAACAAGUAUUUAGAGCUGCUUCCAAAACUUCAAUUUGCUGAUGUGUUUUCAUUAGUAUCCUUUUUAGAAAGAUAUACAAUUAUAAUGUUAAUUGUAUAACUCAAUUUAAAGUUUGUCAGGCGGGUUUUAAGAAGUUUGAUUUCUAAACACAGUUAAGUUUUAGUGAUCAAUUAAACUACAGUGAUUUUGUAUUUAUACUUCUAUAUUUGUAUCUUAUAAUUUUGCAA